CAAGGAUUUCCUAUGGAAGUAAAACAUAUUCAAGCAUGCAAAAGCUGUGAAACCCCUCCUUAACAGGAUCCUCUUAUGUUUUCAUUUUCUCUAAAACUUCUCAAAUAUGCUGGAAGUGCUGCAUCACUAGCAUGAAAUACAAAUGAUUGUGGCAAGAACUCCAUGAAUUUAAUGAAAUGCAGAAUGUUAGGAUGAAUUCUGAGAAGUGUUUUCAUUAAUAGAGUCAGAUGAUUAUUCAGUGUUAAGAUGGCAGAACGGGUGCAUUGUAAAACAUAAAAUACAGUGGAUGACAUUUCAUCUGUACAAUUGACUCAAGCAAAGUUCUCACUUGUAUCUGUUAUGCUACGUGGGAGUUUUAGCUCCAUGUUGCAAGAGGUAAAUUCUUCACUGGAGACAGAAAAACAUACAAUUCAACCACUGAACUUUACAGGUGAUUUAUCAGUUGGUUACACAGGAACUGUCUGUUCAAAAAAGAAGCCUGAGAAGCGCAGAUACUCACAUGGAAGCUCUUCAGGAAGUGCAUCUGAGAGAUACAAUCAAGGAAGACACUUGCAUAUACUUCAUAGAUAAAGACACAGCAUUCCUACUGAAUGCAAAAGAAUAUGUAUACUUAUGGAAGAAUAGACGAAAGUCAUGAACUCUGGAUUUCCGAUUUUGUUGACUUUGAACAAGCCAGUGAAAGAAUAAGGUUCAGAGAGGGCACAAGAAGUUUCACUGUGUCCCUUUCCAAACAAACAACAACAACAACAACAACAACAAAACAGUUUGAAAUCAACUUCAAGUGGACAACAACAUCUGAGUUGUUAAUAUCACCUUCUUCAAACCAGCUCCUCCUGGGCUCUAAGCAGAUACUUCUUUCUUUUCACCCAAAUCUUAGCACCUUAUCCAAUGCCUUUAUUUCUCCAUUCCCUUAUAUUGAAAUAUUUAAAUGUUACAGCUUGGUUUUGAAAAUAUUUAUUUCUUACUGCAUUUGGAAACAAUCUUAUUCUGAAUGCUAUUAAAAAUACUUAAACAGAAA
rnacentral:lncRNA from 1 species